rnacentral:rRNA from 1 species
AUGAACGCUAGCGGCCGGCCUCAUCCAUGCCAGUCGAACGGGAUCCAGAUCAAAGCUUGCUUUGGUUUGGUGAGAGUGGCGCACGGGUGCGUAACGCGUGAGCAACCUACCCUUGUCAGGGGGAUAGCCCGGCGAAAGUCGGAUUAAUACCGCAUGACAUCAUUGAGAGGCAUCUUUCGAUGAUCAAAGAUUUAUCGGACAAGGAUGGGCUCGCGUGACAUUAGCUAGUUGGUAAGGUAACGGCUUACCAAGGCUACGAUGUCUAGGGGCUCUGAGAGGAGAAUCCCCCACACUGGUACGGAGACACGGACCAGACUCCUGCGGGAGGCAGCAGUAAGGAAUAUUGGUCAAUGGACGGAAGUAUGAACCAGCCAUGCCGCGUGCAGGAAGACGGCGCUAUGGGUUGUAAACUGCUUUUAUACGGGAACAAACGUCGGUACGGGUACGGGUAUGAGAGUACCGUAAGAAUAAGGACCGGCUAACUCCGUG